rnacentral:misc_RNA from 1 species
GAUGAAGAACGCAGUGAAAUGCGAUAAGUAAUGUGAAUUGCAGAAUUCAGUGAAUCAUCGAAUCUUUGAACGCACAUUGCGCCCGUCAGUAUUCUGUCGGGCAUGCCUGUUCGAGCGUCAUUACGCCCCUCAAGUCCCCUGUGGACUUGGUGUUGGGGAUCGGCGAGGCUGGUUUUCCAGCACAGCCGUCCCUUAAAUUAAUUGGCGGUCUCGCCGUGGCCCUCCUCUGCGCAGUAGUAAAACACUCGCAACAGGAGCCCGGCGCGGUCCACUGCCGUAAAACCCCCCAACUUUUUAUAGUUGACCUCGAAUCAGGUAGGACUACCCGCUGAACUUAAGCAUAUCAAUAAGCGGAGGA